rnacentral:misc_RNA from 1 species
CUAUCACGGCAUUGUCUUCAGCGAGGAAUUCGGGCCGCAGGCGUUCAUCAUGCGCGCCCGCGCCGAAGGUUUGCGCGAUUUCGGCGCGUGCCUGUCGCCGACCAACGCGUUCCAGAUUUUGCAAGGCGNNNNNNNCUUCACGUCCGCAUGCAGCGCCAUGUGGAGAAUGCCGUCGCCGUUCUGGAAUUUCUGAAAUCGAACAAGGCCGUCGAGUGGGUGCUGCAUCCCUCGCUCGACAAU